AGGAGUGAGCACUAAUAAUAGUACUGGAAAUGAAGAAUUAUGUAUAGUUGAGGUCAUACUGGAUUGGAGUGAACUCUAAACACACUGACUUGUGUUAUUUCGGGGGCGGUGUGAAGACACAGGAAUACGACAUAACAACAGAUACAGAGCCUGGAGUAAUGACAGUACAAGUCAAGGAACACCAAGGAUCACCAGCUGCCACCCAACCCAGGAAGAGGAUUUUGCUCCUCAAGUCAUUGUACUUUGGUACCUACGAAUUUCAACCUUGUCCUUCAUACCCCGUGGGUGUGAAGAUUCCUGGCAGGACUCUAUUUCCACGCUGCAACUAGGGGAAGUUUAGGACAAAACACUUCUGUGUGGUGAUAUGUGGAAAGGUCCUUAGCUGAUCCAAGCAGUGGGACAUGAAGGGGAGAGUAGAAAUGUCACCAGCACCAGUAAGGACAUGCCUAGUACAGAUGAAAAAUGGGAUCAAGAUCAUAUGACCUUUGUCCUCACCUUUAAAAGAUAACUCAAUGACAGUAGAUAUAUCAUUGAUGACAGCCCUCUGAUGACAGCCCUCAAAAAAUGCAUCACCAAGUCAGAUCUCUUUCACAGACUCCUGACUCAGACUUCCUGACAUUUCCAUUGAGAUUUCUAAUAGAUAUAUGAAACUCAAAUGUCCAAGAUGAACAUCUAAACUCCCCCCAUACCCAAAUAUCAGCUCCAAAUUUAGCUUUCCCCAUUUCAGUUGAUAAUAACCCAUCCUUCCAGGGGCUCAUGCCAAAACUCUGGUCUCCUCCCUAACUCUUCACUCUCA